rnacentral:rRNA from 1 species
UACGGAGGGUGCAACCGUUGCUCGGAAUCAUUGGGCGUAAAGCGCACGUAGGCGGCUCGUUAAGUCGGAUGUGAAAGCCCCGGGCUCAACUCGGGAAGUGCAUUCGAAACUGGCGAGCUUGAAUAUGGAAGAGGGUCGCGGAAUUCCCGGUGUAGAGGUGAAAUUCGUAGAUAUCGGGAGGAACACCAGUGGCGAAGGCGGCGACCUGGGCCAAUAUUGACGCUGAGGUGCGAAAGCGUGGGGAGCAAACAGG